rnacentral:lncRNA from 1 species
AGCGAAUUUCUGCAGGGCUGGGGUCGCAUCAUGUGUUAUUUCCAAUUUCACAGCUUCUCCUUCGACUUUAUGGAAACCGAGGGUUGGUUGGGUCUUCAAAACUAAUAUUGUUAUUCCCUUAUUCUACACACGGGAAAGCAGAAGAAAGUAAUUCUCAUCUAACCCAGUUCUGAGCAAAGAAGACAAAAACUCAAGGAACAUCUGUUGAGAAGAAAAACGCUUUUUGCAUACAAGCAGGAAAAUGAGAUGUUAUCCAGUAGUAGAGAUCAGAGAGUUGUGACAUCUGAGGACCAAGUUCAAGAAGGGACUAAAGUGCUGAAACUUAAAACAAAAAUGGCUGAUAAAGAAAACAUGAAGAGACCUGCAGAGAGCAAAAAUAAUACAGUGGUGGGGAAACAUUGUAUUCCUUUAAAACCUUCAAAUGAACUAACCAAUUCAACUGUAGUAAUUGACACACAUAAACCUAAGGAUAGUAAUCAAACUCCGCAUUUGUUACUAACUGAAGAUGAUCCCCAAAGUCAACAUAUGACAUUAAGC